AAACUGGCAUUCCCGUCUUACUU
rnacentral:miRNA from 1 species